GGCGGACGGGUGAGUAAUGUCAGGAACUGCCUGAUGGAGGGGGAUAACUACUGAAACGGUAGCUAAUACCGCGUAACGUCGCAAGACCAAGAGGGACCUCGGGCCUCUUGCCCAUCAGAUGUGCCCAGAUGGGAUGGCUAUAGGUGGUACGGUCACCUAGCGACGAUCCCUAGCUGGUCUGAGAGGAUGACCAGCCACACUGGAACUGAGACACGGUCCAGACUCCUACGGGAGGCAGCAGUGGGGAAUAUUGCACAAUGGGCGCAAGCCUGAUGCAGCCAUGCCGCGUGUAUGAAGAAGGCCUUCGGGUUGUAAAGUACUUUCAGCGGGGAGGAAGGUGUGGGUAAUAACCACAAUUGACGUUACCGACAGAAGAAGGCACCGGUUAACUCCGGGCCAAAGCAAGGCCCGGGCGGGUAAAACUUAACCGGCAAGGGGGUGGCCAAACGCGGGUUAAAAUCCGGGAAAUUUUCACCUGGGGGGCCGGUUUAAAAAAGGCGCACACGCGGACAGAGGGGGCGGGGGAGGGAAUUUGGGAAGGUUCCACAGAACUUGGUGAAACAUUCCCCCCCGGGGGGCAUUAAAACACCCCGGAGGAAA
rnacentral:rRNA from 1 species